UACGUAGGGUGCAAGCAUUGUCCGGAUUUAUUGGGCGUAAAGAGCUCGUAGGCGGCUUGUCACGUCGGAUGUGAAAACUUGGGGCUCAACCCCGAGCCUGCAUUCGAUACGGGCUAGCUAGAGUGUUGCAGGGGAGACUGGAAUUCCUGGUGUAGCGGUGAAAUGCGCAGAUAUCAGGAGGAACACCGGUGGCGAAGGCGGGUCUCUGGGCAACUACUGACGCUGAGGAGCGAAAGCGUGGGGAGCAAACAGG
rnacentral:rRNA from 1 species